GAUGAACGCUGGCGGCGUGCCUAAUACAUGCAAGUCGAGCGAACAGACGAGGAGCUUGCUCCUCUGACGUUAGCGGCGGACGGGUGAGUAACACGUGGAUAACCUACCUAUAAGACUGGGAUAACUUCGGGAAACCGGAGCUAAUACCGGAUAAUAUAUUGAACCGCAUGGUUCAAUAGUGAAAGACGGUUUUGCUGUCACUUAUAGAUGGAUCCGCGCCGCAUUAGCUAGUUGGUAAGGUAACGGCUUACCAAGGCAACGAUGCGUAGCCGACCUGAGAGGGUGAUCGGCCACACUGGAACUGAGACACGGUCCAGACUCCUACGCGAGGCAGCAGUAGGGAAUCUUCCGCAAUGGGCGAAAGCCUGACGCAUCAACGCCGCGUGAGGGAUGAUGGUCUUCGGAUCGUAAAACUCUGUUAUUAGGGAAGAACAAAUGUGUAAGUAACUAUGCACGUCUUGACGGUACCUAAUCAGAAAGCCACGGCUAACUACGUG
rnacentral:rRNA from 1 species